rnacentral:rRNA from 1 species
AGAGAGAGACAUGCGCGCAUAUCAAUAAGCGGAGGAAAAGAAACUAACAAGGAUUCCCUUAGUAACGGCGAGUGAAGCGGGAAGAGCUCAAAUUUGAAAUCUUCAAGGUUUUACCUUGACGAAUUGUAGUUUAAAGAAGUGUUUUCUGCUGAAGUUUUGGUAAAAGUUCUUUGGAAUAGGACAUCAUAGAGGGUGAGAAUCCCGUAUUUGACCAUUAUUUUCAGCUUUGUGAUACACUUUCAAAGAGUCGGAUUGUUUGGGAAUACAGUCCAAAAUGGGUGGUAAAUUUCAUCUAAAGCUAAAUAUUGGCGAGAGACCGAUAGCGAACAAGUACCGCUGAGGGAAAGAUGAAAAGAACUUUGAAAAGAGAGUUAAACAGUACGUGAAAUUGUCAAAAGGGAAGCGUUUGACACCAGUGUUGUUUUCUCGAAAAUCAAUUAAAAAUGGCUCGAUUUUGUAUUGCUUGAGACCUUAAAAGCUCACUGUACAUUUUUCGUGUCUUUUUUAAUGCACUUUUCGUUUAACAAGUCAACAUCAGUUUCUUUUGUUGUAAAAGGGUCAUUGGAAGGUGGCUUUCUUUUCGGAGAAAGUGUUUAUAGCCUUUGGCCUCUGCAAUCGGAGAGACUGAGGUCUGCAGCGCAGACUCUUCGGGGUUAGAUACAUUUGUGCUAAGUUAUAGCUUUUUAUAGACAACUUGUUGACUAUAAUUAGUCUUGUAGCUUACUCGCUUAUGCUAUUUUACCUACGCUUAGGAUGUUGAAGUCAUCGUAUCGCGC